CUGGACCAUGCCGUUAUCACCACGUCCCCUGAGCAUCCCGACGCUGGGCCUCUGGCUUCUCUGCUCCCUUGUCUCGAGCCAGGAAAUCUGCAGCUCUCCCGGCACUCUCCCCGCCCCGCGGCUGUUUCUGGACAGGCUGUCU